rnacentral:rRNA from 1 species
CUUGCUUCUCUUGAGAGCGGCGGACGGGUGAGUAAUGCCUAGGAAUCUGCCUGGUAGUGGGGGAUAACGUCCGGAAACGGACGCUAAUACCGCAUACGUCCUACGGGAGAAAGCAGGGGACCUUCGGGCCUUGCGCUAUCAGAUGAGCCUAGGUCGGAUUAGCUAGUUGGUGGGGUAAUGGCUCACCAAGGCGACGAUCCGUAACUGGUCUGAGAGGAUGAUCAGUCACACUGGAACUGAGACACGGUCCAGACUCCUACGGGAGGCAGCAGUGGGGAAUAUUGGACAAUGGGCGAAAGCCUGAUCCAGCCAUGCCGCGUGUGUGAAGAAGGUCUUCGGAUUGUAAAGCACUUUAAGUUGGGAGGAAGGGCAGUAAAUUAAUACUUUGCUGUUUUGACGUUACCGACAGAAUAAGCACCGGCUAACUCUGUGCCAGCAGCCGCGGUAAUACAGAGGGUGCAAGCGUUAAUCGGAAUUACUGGGCGUAAAGCGCGCGUAGGUGGUUCGUUAAGUUGGAUGUGAAAUCCCCGGGCUCAACCUGGGAACUGCAUUCAAAACUGACGAGCUAGAGUAUGGUAGAGGGUGGUGGAAUUUCCUGUGUAGCGGUGAAAUGCGUA